rnacentral:rRNA from 1 species
CUGACUGACCGAUAGUGAACCAGUACCGUGAGGGAAAGGCGAAAAGAACCCCGGCGAGGGGAGUGAAAAAGAACCUGAAACCGUGUACGUACAAGCAGUGGGAGCACGCUUAGGCGUGUGACUGCGUACCUUUUGUAUAAUGGGUCAGCGACUUAUAUUCUGUAGCAAGGUUAACCGAAUAGGGGAGCCGAAGGGAAACCGAGUCUUAACUGGGCGUUAAGUUGCAGGGUAUAGACCCGAAACCCGGUGAUCUAGCCAUGGGCAGGUUGAAGGUUGGGUAACACUAACUGGAGGACCGAACCGACUAAUGUUGAAAAAUUAGCGGAUGACUUGUGGCUGGGGGUGAAAGGCCAAUCAAACCGGGAGAUAGCUGGUUCUCCCCGAAAGCUAUUUAGGUAGCGCCUCGUGAAUUCAUCUCCGGGGGUAGAGCACUGUUUCGGCAAGGGGGUCAUCCCGACUUACCAACCCGAUGCAAACUGCGAAUACCGGAGAAUGUUAUCACGGGAGACACACGGCGGGUGCUAACGUCCGUCGUGAAGAGGGAAACAACCCAGACCGCCAGCUAAGGUCCCAAAGUCAUGGUUAAGUGGGAAACGAUGUGGGAAGGCCCAGACAGCCAGGAUGUUGGCUUAGAAGCAGCCAUCAUUUAAAGAAAGCGUAAUAGCUCACUGGUCGAGUCGGCCUGCGCGGAAGAUGUAACGGGGCUAAACCAUGCAC